rnacentral:rRNA from 1 species
UUAAGCUAUAAAGAGCACAAGGUGGAUGCCUUGGCACUAAGAGCCGAUGAAAGACGUGAUAAGCUGCGAAAAGCUGCGGUGAGGAGCAAAUAUCCAUUGACCCGCAGAUGUCUGAAUGGGGAAACCCGGCGGAGAAAUCCUCCGUCACCGUAUUCUGAAUCCAUAGGGAUACGGAGGGAACCCGGUGAACUGAAACAUCUAAGUAGCCGGAGGAAAAGAAAGAAAAACGAGUUUUCUUUCUUCGGAAAGAAAAUAUAUCGAUUCUGUGAGUAGCGGCGAGCGAAAACGGAAGAGCCCAAACCAGCGUGCGUGCAUGCUGGGGUUCGGACUGCAUACGUUAUGAAUGAGGUUAGCAGAACGGUCCUGGAAAGACCGGCCAGAGAGGGUGAAAGCCCCGUAAGCGAAAACCAAGUUUGGACAGCAGGAUCCAGAGUACCACGAGACACGAGAAACCUUGUGGGAAUAAGCGGGGACCACCCCGUAAGGCUAAAUACUCCUUAGUGACCGAUAGCGCAUAGUACUGUGAAGGAAAGGUGAAAAGGACCCCGGGAGGGGAGUGAAAGAGAACCUGAAACCUUGUGUUUACAAGCUGUGGAAGUACCGUCAGGGUACAACCGCGUACUUUUUGUAGAACGGUCCGGCGAGUUGUGGGUGCUGGCGAGGUUAAGUCCUUAAGGGACGGAGCCGAAGGGAAACCAAGUGUUAACUGCGCGUAAAUUAUCCAUUGGAUAAUCAGUCAGUAUCUGCAGACCCGAAACCGGGUGAUCUAUCCAUGUCCAGGUUGAAGUUGCCGUAAAAGGCAAUGGAGGACCGAACGCACAUCCGUUGAAAAGGGUGGCGAUGAGGUGUGGAUAGGGGAGAAAUUCCAAUCGAACCCGGAGAUAGCUGGUUCUCCUCGAAAUAGCUUUAGGGCUAGCCUCAUAUGAGUUCCAUGGAGGUAGAGCACUGAAUUUCCUAGGGGGCGUCAAAGUCUACCGAAGAAUAUCAAACUCCGAAUGCCAUAGGAAUGUUAUAUGGGAGUCAGACUGCACGAGAUAAGUUGGGCAGUCAAAAGGGAAAGAGCCCAGACCUACAGCUAAGGUCCCAAAGUACGUGUUAAGUGGAAAAGGAUGUGGGAUUUCAGAGACAACUAGGAUGUUGGCUUAGAAGCAGCCAUACAUUCAAAGAGUGCGUAAUAGCUCACUAGUCGAGAGGUCCUGCGCCGAAAAUGUCCGGGGCUGAAACACGGCACCGAAGCUUAGGAACGCAGGCGACUGCGUUGGUAGAGGAGCAUUCUUACCGGGAAGAAGCAGUGCUGUAAGGCAUUGUGGACUGGCAAGAAGAGAGAAUGCCGGAAUGAGUAGCGAGAUGGAGGUGGGAAUCCUCCAGGCCGAAUAUCUAAGGUUUCCAGGGUAAAGCUGAUCUGCCCUGGGUAAGUCGGGGCCUAAGGCGAGGUCGAAAGACGUAGCCGAUGGACAACAGGUUGAGAUUCCUGUACUAUCAUAUGACAGAACUGUGGGGACACAGAGGGAAAGCCUGAGCCGGGAAAGGGAAACCCGGUGCAAGCGGAGUAAGAGCCAGGUUGGAAAAACCGCCUGGCAAUCUGAAGCCGUGACGCGUACCGAAUUAAAGUAGGGAAGCAGGUGAGCCAGCUGUCGAGAAAAGCCGCUAUUGUUCAUAUGAUACCCGUACCGUAAACCGACACAGGUGGAUGAGGAGAGAAUCCUAAGGCCGGCGGGAGAAGCAUUGUUAAGGAACUCGGCAAAAUGACCCCGUAACUUCGGGAGAAGGGGUGCCUCUGAAAGGAGGCCGCAGAGAAUAGGCUCAAGCAACUGUUUAGCAAAAACACAGGUCUAUGCGAAACCGAAAGGUGAGGUAUAUGGGCUGACGCCUGCCCGGUGCUGGAAGGUUAAGAGGAGGAGUCAGGCAACGAAGCUCCGAAUUUAAGCCCCAGUAAACGGCGGCCGUAACUAUAACGGUCCUAAGGUAGCGAAAUUCCUUGUCGGGUAAGUUCCGACCCGCACGAAAGGCGUAAUGAUUUGAGCGCUGUCUCGACAAUGCACCCGGUGAAAUUGAAGUACCAGUGAAGAUGCUGGUUACCUGCGCCAGGACGGAAAGACCCCAUGGAGCUUUACUCCAGCUUGAUACUGGGAUUCGAUGCUGUAUGUACAGGAUAGGUGGGAGACUGGGAAGUGAUUACGCCAGUAAUCAUGGAGUCACUGUUGGGAUACCACUCUUGCAGCAUUGGGUUUCUAACCUGCGCCCGUGACCCGGGCGGGGGACAAUGUCUGGCGGGGAGUUUGACUGGGGCGGUCGCCUCCGAAAGGGUAUCGGAGGCGCUCAAAGGUUCCCUCAGGAUGGUUGGAAACCAUCCGAAGAGUGCAAAGGCAUAAGGGAGCUUGACUGUGACACCGACGGGUGGAACAGGUACGAAAGUAGGACUUAGUGAUCCGGUGGUAUUAAGUGGGAAUGCCAUCGCUCAACGGAUAAAAGCUACCCUGGGGAUAACAGGCUUAUCACUCCCAAGAGUUCACAUCGACGGAGUGGUUUGGCACCUCGAUGUCGGCUCAUCGCAUCCUGGGGCUGUAGCAGGUCCCAAGGGUUGGGCUGUUCGCCCAUUAAAGCGGUACGCGAGCUGGGUUCAGAACGUCGUGAGACAGUUCGGUCCCUAUCCGGCGCAGGCGUAGGAUAUUUGAGAGGAGCUGUCCUUAGUACGAGAGGACCGGGAUGGACGGACCGCUGGUGUAUCUGUUGGCUACCAAAGCCAUGGCAGAGUAGCCAAGUCCGGCAGGGAUAAACGCUGAAGGCAUCUAAGCGUGAAGCCCCCCUCAAGAUGAGAUAUCCCAAUAAGUAAGACCCCUUAGAGAGUAUGAGGUAGAUAGGCUGGAGGUGGAAGUGCAGCAAUGUAUGGAGCUGACCAGUACUAAUCGGUCGAGGGCUUAUCC